rnacentral:tRNA from 1 species
GGAGGCAUCGCAUAGUGGUCAAUUGCACAAGGUUGCUAACCUUGACCUUUUUUUAGGUUCGUGGGUUCAAAUCCCACUGCCUCCGCCG